rnacentral:rRNA from 1 species
UACGGGGGGAGCAAGCGUUGUUCGGAUUUACUGGGCGUAAAGGGCGCGUAGGCGGCCACCGCAAGUCAGUUGUGAAAUCUCUGGGCUUAACCCAGAAAGGUCAACUGAUACUGCGGGGCUAGAGUGCAGAAGGGGCAACUGGAAUUCUCGGUGUAGCGGUGAAAUGCGCAGAUAUCAGGAAGAACACCAAUGGCGAAGGCAGCUCUCUGGGACGGUACUGACGCUGAGACGCGAAAGCGUGGGGAGCAAACAGG